GAUGAAGAACGCAGCGAAAUGCGAUAAGUAAUGUGAAUUGCAGAAUUCAGUGAAUCAUCGAAUCUUUGAACGCACAUUGCGCCCGCCAGUAUUCUGGCGGGCAUGCCUGUUCGAGCGUCAUUACAACCCUCAGGCCCCCGGGCCUGGCGUUGGGGAUCGGCGGAGCCCCCCGUGGGCACACGCCGUCCCCCAAAUGCAGUGGCGGUCCCGCCGCAGCUUCCAUCGCGUAGUAGCUAACACCUCGCAACAGGAGCCCGGCGCGGUCCACUGCCGUAAAACCCCCCAACUUUUUAUAGUUGACCUCGAAUCAGGUAGGACUACCCGCUGAACUUAAGCAUAUCAAUAAGCGGAGGA
rnacentral:misc_RNA from 1 species